GAUGAACGCUGGCGGCGUGCCUAAUACAUGCAAGUCGAGCGAACGGACGAGAAGCUUGCUUCUCUGAUGUUAGCGGCGGACGGGUGAGUAAACCGUGGAUAACCUACCUAUAAGACUGGGAUAACUUCGGGAAACCGGAGCUAAUACCGGAUGAUAUUUUGAACCGAAUGGUUCUAAAGCGUAAGACGGUCUUGCUGUCACUUAUAGAUGGAUCCGCGCUGCAUUAGCUAGUUGGUAAGGUAACGGCUUACCAAGGCAACGAUGCAUAGCCGACCUGAGAGGGUGAUCGGCCACACUGGAACUGAGACACGGUCCAGACUCCUACGGGAGGCAGCAGUAGGGAAUCUUCCGCAAUGGGCGAAAGCCUGACGGAGCAACGCCGCGUGAGUGAUGAAGGUCUUCGGAUCGUAAAACUCUGUUAUUAGGGAAGAACAUAUGUGUAAGUAACUGUGCACAUCUUGACGGUACCUAAUCAGAAAGCCACGGCUAACUACGUG
rnacentral:rRNA from 1 species